GACUCUGAGCGGUGGAUCACUCGGCUUGUGUAUCGAUGAAUAAUGCAGUUUGCUGCGAGAACUAAAGUGAAUUGCAUGAUGCACUGAUCAUUGACACUUUGAACGCACUUUGCGGCACCGGGUUACUCCCGGGGCUACACCUGUCUGAGAGUUG